ensembl:lncRNA
CAGCCCCCCGCGGCGGGGUCGGGGCUGCUCGCCGCCGGCCUCCGUGGCCACGCUGCGCUGGAGCAGGGGGCAGAUCCUGCGGGCGCUCGAAUCCGGCCUGCAGGAAAUGGCCCAGAGCUGGAGUCAGCCGGACGGGAUGGAGACACCCAGCCCCAAGCAACCUCCUUCCCCUCCGUCGCACCGAGGGGUCCAGCCCCGGAUGGCGGAGGGGCCUGUGGGGGCCCCUGACCCUGCAUCGGGGGAGCCCGCGCCCUGGGGGCCCCCCCGAGCCUGGCUGCAGGUCUCGGUGCCCUGGCUGGAGCGGCACGUGGUGCAGCGGGCGCUGGGCACCUUCCUCCUGCCCCCCUGCGUCAGGGAGUCCCAGGCUGCCCACGAGGCCCCGCGGGCCAGGCAGGGCUGUGGGUGCCGAGCUCCAGGGCAGGGGGGGCCCCGGGGCACGGCAGCCCCCGGGAGCCAGCGGGGGGGUCCACGGCCAGGCUGCCAGGAGCCCGCGGAGACCCUGCACCYGGCCCAGCCACCCGACCCGGCGUUUGCCCCUGUGGAGAAGGGUCCCGCAGGGCUGCGCCCACCCGCUGGGCCCCCGCAGGGCCCCGGGUCUGAGCGCCAGAGCAGGGCCCCCCCAUGCUGUGCUCCCCAGCCCCGAAUGGCAGCGCCGUGGGCCCCCCUGCCCCCCCGCAGCCCCUCCUGGCCACGCCAGCAUCCUCCUCCUCCUCCUCCAGCGGGGCAGACGGGCAGGGGGUCCACGGCUGCCUGGCACCYGGGGCGCUCUCCGUCCCCGCCGGGGCCCCGGGGGCGGGUGGCGCUCAGCAGCCCUGCUCCGGGCUGGGCGCCCAGGCUGGGCACGGACCCCUGCAGCAGAAAGCAAGCCCCGAGCGCGGCCGGGGGCGCAGGAGGCAGCCCCGUGGGGCAGCGGCCCGGUGCCGCGCUGAGGAGCGUCCUGCUGAGGCUCCUGCGGGGCCUCGCGCCCUGGGCAUCAGGCAGGGACCGCCCAGCCCCAAGGAGCCCCGCUGCAGGCCCAGGGCGCAAGUCAGGGGCGCAGGGGCCCCAGGAGCCGCGUGGGAAGCGCGAGGCGCGAAGGGACCCCCGACCCAACGCGCCUGCAGCAGGACGCCCGUCCAGCGACGACGAGCCUUGGCCGCGUGGCCGCUUCGGGGGAACAGCCCCAGGAGCCCUGCGAAGCCAUCGGGGCGGCAGCAAGGCCAGGGCCAGAAGUCCUGACAGCAGCUCUCCCCUGGCUGCUGCAAUCCCUCCGGAGGCGUCCACCAGCACAGAGGGGACCACAGCGUCCUCGGGCCCCCACGAGGGUGGUGGUGCCCCCUGCCACAGUCCCCAAAAGCAGCAGGCACCCCAGGCAGGUGCCACAUCGUUCGGUGGUGGUGCCCCGCUCCCGGGAGCACGCAGCAGAGACCUGCCUGGCAAAGAGAGGAGAUGCAGGCUGAGGAGGCRGCCGCCCCGCAGGGCUGGGGCAGGCCACGGAGGGCAAAGGCAGUGGUCCGGGCUUGGGGGGCAGCGCCCUGCCAGCCCCAAGAGCUCCCAGGGCUCCAGGGCACGGUCCCGCAGUACCCACAGACACAUCAGCUUCAAGGGGACACGGGCACGCAGCAGCAGCCCGCAGGGGAUGCCGAGCCAGGCAGSCUUGCCACGUCGCGCCUUUAAACCAUCCAGUGAGGACGACGCCUCCGACAYGGACAGCUCGGCCUCCCUGGAGCACUGUGAUGCCCCUGCCACCAGGCACGUGUGCCCGUGCCACCUGCACCAAGCCCACAGCCGCAGGGCCCAGGGGACUCUGCCAGGCCCGCGCAGCAAUAUCCCCCGCUCAGCGCAGCACACGGUGCGCUCACGGCCAAGCAAACUGUCACCAUCCCUGGAGAGCUCUAGCACUGAGCACAGUUGCCAUCCAGCCUCCCAGGAGAGGCAAUGCCAGACUCUGUGGGGUAUUUGGUCUAAAAAACCCCCGUUUUCUUAAUAAACUACUUAUUUUCUUAUCGAGAGAGCUCUGUGGAGACCUCACUCUGCCAGAGCGGCAGGGUGUGUUAGGGAUGGGAAAGGGGAGAUGGGCUCUGGAGCCCCAGGGAAGCUGUGCUGUCCUGGCAGGAGGACGAAGAGGAGGAUGAGCCAGGGCAUAGCCUGACUAUUCCUUUUGGAGCUUAUCCUCAGCCCUGGCCACGGUGAGGGAACAGCCUCGGGCUCUCUGUGAUCCUAGUCUGGGRACGCAGCAUCGCCCCCCGCACAGAUGGGACUGCCAGCUGUGGCAGCAAUAGGAGCAGGCUGACAGCUCCUGCAGCAAGUCAGGCUUUUCACACUGGCAAGGACAAGUCCUUUGGCUCAACUUAACCUAUGAUCCAUGAGCUGGC